UCCUGACCGGUUUCCCUCUGAUGCAGUUCCAGUUUCAGUUCAUAAUUUGAAACCGGCAGAUAUUCGGGUGAUUGCUGCCCUGGGAGAUUCACUCACAGCAGCUAAUGGGGCAGGAUCCAGACCCCAUGAUGUUCUGGAUGUCCUGACUCAGUACCGAGGUCUUUCUUGGAGUGUUGGAGGAAAUGAAAACAUAAGCAC